CCUACGGGAGGCAGCAGUGAGGAAUAUUGGUCACUGGGCGCGAGCCUGAACCCGCCAAGUAGCGUGAAGGAUGACUGCCCUACGGGUUGUAACCUUCUUUUAUAAAGGAAUAAAGUGAGGCCCGUGUGCCUUUUUGUAUGUACUUUAUGAAUAAGGAUCGGCUAACUCCGUGCCCGCCGCCGCGGUAAUACGGAGGAUCCGAGCGUUAUCCGGAUUUAUUGGGUUUAAAGGGAGCGUAGAUGGGUUGUUAAGUCAGUUGUGAAAGUUUGCGGCGCAACCGUAAAAUUGCAAUUGAUACUGGCAUUCGUGAGUACAGUUGAGGUAGGCGGAAUUCGUGGUGUAGCGGUGAAAUGCUUAGAUAUCACGAAGAACUCCGAUUGCGAAGGCAGCUUACUAAACUGCCACUGACAUUGAUGCUCGAAAGUGUGGGUAUCAAACAGGAUUAGAUACCCUAGUAGUC
rnacentral:rRNA from 1 species